rnacentral:rRNA from 1 species
AACGAACGCUGGCGGCGUGGAUAAGACAUGCAAGUCGAACGCUAUAUUCGGUGUAGCAAUACAUCGAGUGUGGAGUGGCGCAAGGGUGCGUAACACGUGGGUAAUUUGCCAUGAAGUUGGGGAUAACUCGCUGAAAGGCGAGCUAAUACCGGAUGUGAAGUUUGGGUGGCAUCACCUGAUCUUUAAAGCUGGGGAUCGCAAGACCUGGCGCUUCAUGAUAAGCCCGCGGCCUAUCAGCUAGUUGGUGAGGUAACGGCUCACCAAGGCUAAGACGGGUAGCUGGUCUGAGAGGACGACCAGCCACACUGGAACUGAGACACGGUCCAGACACCUACGGGUGGCAGCAGUCGAGAAUUUUUCUCAAUGGGCGCAAGCCUGAAGGAGCGACGCCGCGUGGGGGAUGAAGGGUUUCGAUCCGUAAACCCCUGUCAUUUGUGAACAAUGGUUAUUAUUUAAAAGAUGGUAACUUGAUAGUAAUGAAAGAGGAAGGGACGGCUAACUCUGUGC